AUGAUCCGAGCGGUGCAGGUCGUCACCAGGGGGGAGAGCCGCCGGGCUGCGCUGGCGUCGGUGGCCGGCUACGUCAGCCACCGCGGCUACUCCACGGCCUCGAGCUCGCAGAGGCUGGCCGGGAAGGUGGCCGUGAUCACCGGCGGGGCCAGCGGCAUCGGCAAGGCGACGGCCGCGGAGUUCGUCAGGAACGGCGCCAAGGUCGUCCUCGCCGACGUCCAGGACGACCUGGGCCGCGCCCUGGCGGCCGACCUCGGCCCGGACGCGGCAUGCUACACGCGCUGCGACGUGACCGACGAGGCGCAGGUCGCCGCGGCCGUGGACCUCGCGGUGGCCCGCCACGGCAAGUUGGACAUCAUGCUCAAUAACGCCGGCAUCGUGGGCUCCCUGGCGCGUCCCCGGCUGAGCGAUCUCGACCUCGCGGACUUCGACGCCGUCAUGGCGAUCAACGCCCGGGGCGUGAUUGCCGGGGUGAAGCACGCGGCCCGCGUCAUGGCGCCGCGCCGCAGCGGCAGCAUCAUCUGCAUGGCCAGCGUCGCCGGCGUGCUGGGCAGCGUGACGCCGCACCCGUACAGCGUGUCCAAGGCGGCGGUGGUCGGGAUCGUGCGCGCCGUGGCGGGGGAGAUGGCGCGCUCCGGGGUGCGCGUCAACGCCGUCUCGCCCAACUACAUCCCGACGCCGCUGGUGAUGCGCAUCCUGGAGGAGUGGUACCCGAAGGCCAGCGCGGAGGAGCACCGGCGGAUCGUGGAGGGGGACAUCAACGAGAUGGAGGGCGCGGUGCUGGAGCCGGACGACAUCGCAAGGGCGGCGCUGUACCUGGCGUCCGACGAGGCCAAGUACGUCAACGGGCACAACCUCGUCGUCGACGGCGGGUUCACGGUGGGGAAGCCGCCCAACAUGCCGGCACCGGCGCUGUAA
rnacentral:rRNA from 1 species